UACUGUACUAGCCUUUGCCUGCAACUUUUUCCGCGCGGACUACACAACUUUCAACCCCUAUUUCACUCCCCUAGGGGUUGAAUUUUCGAAAAUCCUUUCUUAGACGAUGUCUUUGUUAAAAUAGCUAUAGGUAUGCGAAAUUUCACGCCAAU